CCUCAACUUUAUGUCCAGAGGGAGAGAAAUGGACGCACCCGGCCAGAGCCAGCACCCAUCUUCAGUAUCAGCGUGAUGUGACCUCUCUGUUUCUACUUGCUGGUGCUGAAGACCGAGGGCCCCCCCCACCUGCACAGACCUGUCACCAAGACCCCCACCCUGGGGUCUUCCCAGAGUCAGAGGAUGUGUCUUUAAGUCGGGGAGGUGACUCUGAGGGACAGACAGCUCUCAAGGCUGUGAGGACGGCUCAGCCCGGUCCUUCUGGGGCCCAAGUGCAUCUGCACCCUGGCCUCCUCACCACCCACGUCAUCGGUGCUGGCUUGGAGGGCAGUGGGGCGGGGCUGGGGGGCCAGCCGGCCUUGGCAAGACUUCCCGCAGCAGCACAGGGGCGCUGCCUGUGCCCUCUGAGUGCACAAGCCGGGGGUGUUGGCGGGAUGCUCAGCCACAUCCAACUGAAGGAAGCCUGAGCCAGUGCGUGGGUUGGUGCCACGGGAGUGCCUCGUCCGCCCCUUCCUCCCCCAGGGUAAGAAUUGCCUCCGAUCUUGACAGCAUUAUACCCUGAUGGCACAAGGAGGUGGUGGACACAGCUCUCCUUUUGCUAAAGUGUGUAAAUAGUUUAUUUAUAGGGGUAAGAAUGUUUUCACACCACGUCUUCACUUCCUCUGGCAUUCUCCUCUCAACAGCCUUACACAGUGUCUGGGUCUGAAGCCACCCCUUUCAGCUCCCUUGAGUGUCUCCCGAGCCAGCCCCAUCAACUUCUCCUUUUCAUCCCUGAUAGCCCAGCUGCACAGAUGUGCCCCCUCUUCUCUACACACCCUCAACACACACCCCCACUGCCCUCCCCGCUCAGCCUCACCGUCUUCUGGUCUUGGUGCUACUGAAACCGUUACCUGGAACUUGAAUCCUGACCCUCCCUCACUGCAAGGCCAAGGAGCCCCAGCCAGAGACGGCCAGCCCGAACCCUUUGGCCAGGGCUCUUCUCCAGGCCACGUGCUACGGGCCGGCGGGCCGGCCUGGCAUUUGCCUCUCCCUGGAGAGAGAAGCCCUGGAGCCAGGCCCCUGGGCCCUGUGCCGAGCCACAGACCCUAGCCUGCAGCUGCCUAGGGGCUUGGGAUGUUUCACUGCUAACUUUCGUGAUGACCCCCCACCCCUCGACCGGAAUAUCUGUGGUCACCGUGUCCUGUCCGGGCGGUUGGGGGCUUGCUCUUAGAAACGAUGUCUGACUUGUGUGCCGAAGAGCCCCCCGGGGGUAGAUGGGGCGUUCGUGCGUCUUUGGCUGGGCGAUACUCUGAACGCUUCUCUGGAUCUUGCAUUGGCCUGUCCUCAUCGUUCAGAGGUGGAGUGCCACCUUCACUUACUGCCCAAGUGUACAUGCUCGUGUGGUGUAUUCUGGUGGCUGUUUGUUGAUGAUGUUGGUUUUGUUUUGUUACAAUUUUCUCUGUAGACUAGAGGAAAAAGAAUGCUUGUUUUUAGGAAGCGUGAUGCUUUUCUUUGACUGCCAAACUCUUUUAUGGAAUAUAUCUUUCUAUUAAUGCUGUUGUUUUGAUUGCUUUUGUUUCGGGUCACAUCAAGAGGGCAUUAAGCAUCUCUCUCAGCCGCCGAGGGAACCAGUGGGAUCGGGUGUGGCUAGGCACAACAGGGAGGUAGAUGAAAUAAAUUUCAUUGAGUGCUUUUUAGAGUCCGUGUGCCACUUUCAGUGAUCCUUUGUCUGGAGGUUACAACUGGAACAGCUGGCUUGUGGCUUGGUCAUGCCCAGCUGGAGCACAAGGUAGAACUUUGACUCCAUGGGCCUGGAGGAAACAUUAUUUUAGCUUCUAACUGUACGGCCUCAGGCAGAAGAGCUUGGGAACACUGGGUUGGAAUCCGGGCACUGCUGCUGCAUGAGCCACGUGUACUGGCCCAUCUGUGGAGGGGGUGAGUGGCAGUGCCCCCCUCACUAGGUACAUAUGACCCAGCCUGCUGUGGGGGAGUCGGUCCUUAACGCGGUGUGUGGGCGCCGAUUGCUCCUGGGCGGCUUCUGCUGGCUCAUCUUCUCAGGUGGAUCUGGUGGCUGGACCACUUGUGUCUUCACAGGUCACAGCCCAGUUCAGGGUGAAGUCUAGCUGUGACUUUAUCAGAGCUGGGUUUGUUUUUCAAUUAGGUUACAAAACUUUGUGGCCACUUUCAGUCAUCUCAUCUGACUGAGUUUAUUGGAUAGAAAAGAAAUGCAAUAUAAGGGGUGUUCACGGGGCAUCUCCAACGAACCGGGCUCUUUCUGUGGCGCCACAGUGCAGCCGUCCUGGCCACUCCCCGCCCAGCCGGCCCUGAAUCCCCAGCCACUCCCUGUCCUCUCAGACUGGGGUAGAGGCCAUUGUGGCCUCUGUCCGUCCCCUCCUGGCUCCUCCUACACUCCCCCUUUAAAGUUUCUGGGUCUUUCCGUAUCCUGUCCACUUCCGCCGCACUGUUAUUUUCCCCACCUCUCCUUCUCACCCCGUCCCGCGUAUCCCCAUCCCAGGAAGCUUUCUUGGCCCUCUGCCUUCCCCCCUUUCCUUCCCAGCAGCUGCUUGUCCGGGCUCUCUGUCCCCCUCCCGCCACUGCCGGCUGCUCUCUUCACUUGGCUGAAACUGCUCUCCCCCAGUCACCAGACUCAGUGCCUCUCCCGGCCUCUGCAGCUCCUGCUGCUCUGGCCCACCCCCUCCUCAGAGUCCUCUAAUUCUGCGGCCCGAGCUCCCCAGGUCUCUGACCUCCUGCCCAUCCUUGUCCUGCCUCCAGCUGCCCGGCCAUUGCUCACCGGUCUCCAGGGGCUCCCGUGCCCUCAGGGCAGGGCUGUGAGCCGAGCAGGAAGCCAGCUGCUGUGCUGGGCUUCCCCACAUGUAUAACAAUAAAGACGAAUGGACACAGAACUUCCUGGAACACAGGAAGCACUCACAGUACCUAUCAGUUAAAAACUGAUUCAGUCGCGGGAACAGCUCUGGGAAAGCCAUUUUCGUGGCCAAAACAUGAGACUUGGAGAAAGGUUUCUGGGAGCAUUCAAUGAUUUGAUGUAGAUGAGAGCGCUUGGUAAACUUGAAGGUGGUGUUGACUCCCCAGCCACCUACUGUGGCUUUUGGCAAGUCACUUAACCUAUUUGAGUCUAUUCUGUAAAAUAAGAAUACGAACACCAGAACAUGGGGUUGUUUCAAGGAUUAAAUGAGGUGGAUAAAGCAUUUAACAUAGGUCUAGAUUAGUUAGUGUGUACCCCCAAAUGACUGCUAAUACAAUUAUUGAGAUUUUAUCCGAAGCUACCAGUCCCCACCUGCUGAGACGCCUGGGUUCAGGUUGAAAUGAAAAACCUGCUUCCCUGCCCUUUUAGGAGCAAGGCUUUGAGCUCUGUAGGGAGCCUCAGCAGGCAUAUGGAGUUCAAGGUCUGUUUGCUUUCUGUGUCUUAGGGUGGGGAGACGGGAGAGGGGAUUUCUUCUCACCUGGAGUGUGGAUCCUGCCAGAAACCAACAGAGCCCGACAAGUUGCCCCAGGAGCCCCCAGAGGAAGCAGAGUGGCCCCCGCCUGCCGAGGGAGCCAGGCCGCAGGGGCCGGUCUGAGGGGGCCGGCAGACGGCCACAGCCUGCCUCCGAGGGCUCCAGGAGCGAUGCUCUGUGGGGAGAGCAGGGGCUAGAGGAGCUCGGGCUAGAAAGAAGAAAACCCUGGGAACAGGCAUUGGAUGACAUGUUUGGAUGCAGAAAUCAACACAGCUGUAGUGCUACAUGGAAAGAAUUGGAGUCAUCUCUGGGAGGGACUGAGCACCCCGUCCCUGGAGAUGUGCAAACCUCGGCUGGAUACCUCCUGUUGGGGGUGAUGGAUGGGCCUGGGGGUGGGGGUGGCAUAUGGACCGUGGCAAGUCUUCCCACCCCUGAGAGGCAGUGGUCAUUCCCUGUGCUCUUUGUUAGAGGUAAUUUUCCAAAAAACAAGCAUCACUCAUCUAAAUAUUACAUAGACACAUGUCAAAGAUUUUAUUUAACUCACUCAUUAAAGGACAGAGCUGGUAAGAUGAACAACUAGUUCAAAGAAGAAAUCGCAAUGAACUGUAAAUCUAUUCGGCCCUGGGGUGGGGAAUACCCUGCAGUCUUUCAGAGGCCCAGACUCCUUCUAUCUUGUGACUCCAUCCUCUUGCAGGUCUUUGAAGUCAUCUCUGGUCAGCUGGAGGCUGGGGAAGAGGGUGAAGAUGGAGGGAGGGACAAUCUUAGGAAUGAGGCCUGGAUGGCCUGCACACCACUUGUGCCCAUGUUCCAUUGACCAGAACUCAGAAGCCGCAUUGAUCUACCAGGGGUGGGCAAAAGUCUCAGUGUGGGCCAGGAAGAAGAGGUGAGGUCAGGCACCCAGGGCACCAGUGGUCAGUGCCCCGAAUCCCACAGCUCAGGGAAGUGAAGGCUGGGACUGGAAUCUGCCAGGGCACUGAAGGCCCCAUCUGUGCCUGCAGAGAGCUGUUAGCCUAGCUCACGGCCCCUGCUCAGCCUUCUCACUGCUCCAAGGAGGGAGGCAGGCGCUUUGUCAAGCUGGGUGGGUGUGCGGGAUCCCACGGGGCCACAGAUGUGGUCUGUGAGCCAACCUGGGGGCAGACGGCACGUGAACUCCUGUCAGUGCCCUCCUGGUUUGACCACUGGGGAGGUUGCAUGGCCCGGAAGGACUGUCCAGCUGAACGAGCGCCCAGGGGGUCAGGGAGGAGGGAUAGGAGAGCAGGAGCAUGUAAAGGCUCAACAAGACUUGGGUUUAAUUCCUAGGUCAUUAGCUAUUUGACCUCGACGAUAAAAUUGACCUUGGGGUA